AAUACGACGAAUACUAUGGUGUAUGGAGAAUGCGGUAGAUAUCCGAUGCACUUAUUUACAAAUAUCAGAGCUAUAACAUACUGUAAAUACACAUUAUACU